GGAAGCACAGAUGAAUCACAUUUCCUUCUUCAUCCUCAGAUAAAGGUGUCUGCAGAGCAGCUGUGCCUGAACGCCAUGUGAGAUUUACAGCUGCUUUCAGUUCUGCAGCCUUUUAGAAGGAAAAACCCAACCAAUAACAAAGUGGAGGAAAGAAAGUCUUUUGUGUCAGUGGAGACGAUCUCUGUGGGACAGACAUUACCAAACACCAUUAUUCUACUGAAAACUGAGGCAUUCUCUUUAUAGCAUGAACACAUUCGUCUGCCUCUUUAAGAAAUUGCGAUUCUUAAUUUUCUUGAAGAACAUUGAUUCAGAGACUUAACAAGACCAAUGGCCCAGGUGAAUAGCAACAACAGGAUCUAUCCAAGAGAAGUUUACUCUGCCUCUCAUAGCUCUUCAAGUCCCUGUGUUGAUGCAAACCUGACGUAG
rnacentral:lncRNA from 1 species